rnacentral:rRNA from 1 species
CCCGCUCAGAAACUCAAAUGAAGUUGACGGGGCCCGGCACAAGCGGUGGAGUAUGUGGUUUAAUUCGAUGCAACGCGAAGAACCUUACCUGGUCUUGACAUCCCGGAGACCCUUAGGAAACUAGGGGGUGCUUCCAUCUGGAAGAAUCUGGAGACAGGUGCUGCAUGGCUGUCGUCAGCUCGUGUCGUGAGAUGUUGGGUUAAGUCCCGCAACGAGCGCAACCCUUGCCUUUAGUUGCCAGCAGUUCGGCUGGGCACUCUAAAGGGACUGCCGGUGUUAAACCGGAGGAAGGUGGGGAUGACGUCAAGUCCUCAUGGCCUUUAUGACCAGGGCUACACACGUACUACAAUGGCCGAUACAAAGGGCAGCGACACUGCGAGGUGAAGCCAAUCCCGUAAAAUCGGUCUCAGUCCGGAUUGGAGUCUGCAACUCGACUCCAUGAAGUUGGAAUCGCUAGUAAUCGUGGAUCAGCAUGCCACGGUGAAUACGUUCCCGGGCCUU